GCGUGCCCGCGCCGCCGUGCUGCCGCCAGUCCACGUCGCGCGUCCGUCUCGAGUGUAUGUGUAGAUCGCUCGCGUUCGUCGCGCCAAGCUCGCGUCUCUGCACGUCCUACGUCCACGGACGGAGUGGCGGUUCGCAUCUUACCGGGCAGCAUUAGAGUCGUUUCGUUAUUUUCUAAUACUGUCAGGUAAAGAUGUCGUCCGCGCUCCAAGUUCUGCACAUGAAGAAGUCUGCGAGGAAUUCGGGCCGGGCCGUGGAACCGGUCGGUGGUUUAUAUUUACCGGCUGCGCCGGCGCUACGCGUUGCGGUUGCGUCACGGCGAGCGCCGCCCGAGCCACGCAUAUCGCCGCCACGCUACACCACCCGCCUGGAUGGACUGCCCAGGGAUGGAGAAGAAGCAACUGAACGCUGCGUGUGCGAGUCAGCAACCAAUAUGUGUGGAGCCGCGCGGGCGCAGGCCAGCGGCGGGCAGGCGUAUCCGGGCCGCUGGUCGACCGCCCGCUGUCCGCUGCCCGCAGCCCGCAGUACGCUACAGCCACGAGAACUCGCUCUCGGAGCACCGCACAUCUGGCGGAACACUUGCGGCCGUCAGGCGCACCAUGUCCUCUUUAUUAUCAAUUUCAUUGUUGUAACAAGCAAAUCAAUGGUUUGACAUAUUUUACUACCGCGAUUUUGGCGUCGUAAUCGCCACCUCGAUUGCUGGCCAUCCGCGCACUAUCAACCCGUGCAAGCGAUAAUGACUUAGAAACGAGUACUUGCUGGAUUCAUAAAAAAUUUUCCGUGAACUCUUGUCGCGUAAAUAGUUGUUAAUUGUUGCUUAAAGAGGUUUGACCUCGUCUUUUUAACUUAAUUGUAAACAGACACCACUGAUAUACCGCCGAUACUACUCCACUUUGUCAAAAAUGGCGUCCACUUUAUCAGUGACCUUGUUCUGAAUUAAAACUUGAAUAAUUGUUAAAAGAGUUCACUGUUUUUUCAAUUCACUGCGUUCACGUUUCAUUAUUGUUAAUUAUACGAAGAUAUUUGCUUUGUUACUUUUCAUAUUUCGUACAAACAUGAUGAUUUGCGUUACUUAUAACAUAAAAGGAUUAUUAAAUGUUUGCUUGUCUGCAUGUCUGCCAUUGUAAUCAAUUGAAUUAUCUCCCAAACGGCUGAAACAAUUUUGACGUAACUUUUUUUUAAAUUUUAUUUGGAACAACUAACGACUACAUAAUGUAUAUACUCGUAGUUUACAAAGACAAUAAUAGCUUACAAACCCUACCGUGGCGGCGCCAACCACACCGCGCAGUUAAAGGCCAAUACAUACCACUCAGAUUAGUCGAUGUAAGUUUAUCAUAUCUGUAUACGACGCAUGACACUUCUCCUGAACAAGUUGUGGUAAACAAGUCAAUAUCUAUAAACAGAUAAUUGUACAAUCUCAUCACCCUCCAUAAGGGGGCGCGCUCACCAGCAUGCUUCUUACAUCGUUUUAGUGCGAACAGAACACUUUUACGAGUGCCGCGAAUAUGACAUGUUCUGGCAGGCACAUGUAAUUUUAUUUGUCUAAUUCUAUUCUAUGCAGUUAAAUUUAUGGUUUAGGAUGUUGUACAGCAACAAAACAUCCAAGACAUUACGCCUCAUGUCAAGCGUAGGCAAAUCAUAUUUCAGCAAUAAUGAAGUGUAUGAUGGCGCGCUGGCGCCGCGGUCACUGCGCGGUGUCACCUCGGUGUUGCUCCAUAGCUAAAUGGAUUCACACAAACUUACAUUGAUUAAGAUUCAAAUGGAUAACCUCGACCCCUCCAUUUGAAUACAUAAUGGUGGCGAGCGUGUGUAAGCGCCUUUUGUUAAAUAAUUUUUAUUAUUUCUAAAAUACAAACACUACAUAUUUGUAAUCAAAAGAAUUUUCUAUUCAAUGAAAAUGGAAUUAAUAUAUUCUAUUCUUAUAAUAACUAGUAUCCUCCUUAAACUGGCACAUGGCUCGGUGCAUGGCCGAUGAUGCGGUGGCGGUCGUACUUGCUCUAGGGAAAGACAUCUUUAGUGUUAUGGUUAAAAUGAUUCGAUGAGGUUUAAUAAAUAUGAUUUUAUGUACAGACGUGUAUCAAACAGCAACGUGUCACAUGGAGCGGAUUGUGGGGGGGGGGGGCAGAUGUCGCGGCGAGCGCAUUCCGCGGCCGCGCCGGCUGCUCCGCCGGCAAACGGGUUUCAUAGCCAUGGCCAUGAUGAAGUCGACGACACCUUAAUGAUAAUAUACGAUAGAGAAGCUAUUUCGAGAGCAUCCACCGCCGCGCAGUCACCACGCAGCCGCCGCGCCGCCGCAGCGCACGCCACGGUCCCCGAGCUCGGCGCCACUCAGUUGUCUUCAUUCAAUACUUGAAUGUCAAUGUAGCCAGUAAAUUCAGAUCACCUUAUCUUACAGAGUGCCUUCUAUUUGACUAAACGAUACUACUAUAAACAUAAGUAAAUAUAAUUAAUUAAGUUCUUAAAGCUUUUCCAAUAACUAAUAAUGUAUGUAUAUAAAAUUAAGAGAAAUAAAAAGUG